rnacentral:rRNA from 1 species
UAUAAAAGAGUUUUUUCUAGUACGAAAGGACCGAAAAAACAUGGCCCAUACUUAAUGCAAGCCAUAAUUAUUAACUUAUGACUAAAUCUUAAUAAGUACCCAAUCCACCACUAAACUCAAAAAAAGAGUA